rnacentral:ncRNA from 2 species
UGAUAUCAGGGGUCAAAAGGUCAAAAAGUCGUUCGUGCUUGCACGAUAAGACUUUUGAACUGGGGACCCGCCAACCAUGAGAAAGUAGCGAUUUACGCAGUAAAUCAGCGGAUUUCGAAUGUUUGAGAAUUGUGGGAGCUGCUUGNCAGCGGAGCAAUUCGUGGAUAUCA